rnacentral:siRNA from 1 species
CAAGAGAGUGAUUUUGUUUUGC